UUAUAUUUUAUUAUAAGAACAGGUUACCCCGAUACCUUAAUCGUUAUAUAAUAACAAACGCUGAGUUAGCGUUAGGAAUACGAUAAAAGCCCCAACACGCGUUCUAGCACAAAUAAUAUUACCUAUACCAAUAUAUAGCUUUCCUACCCAUUAAAUCUGGCUGUACGUAUACGUUAAUAUACGUUAAUUAUAAACCCGGUAUAGCAAUAGAUUAUUACAAUUUCUAUUUUACGCAAAUUGCGAAAAUAAAGUUACAUUAUUAGCGUUUAUAACAAUUUUCUAUUCCUUUCUUUUUUUUUACAACUAUUAAACUACUUUUAAAAAUACCCCCUAUUUUUUCAAAACCCCCAACGUUUAUUAUAAAUUAUAAUAAAAGGUUUUAAAAAUUAGGGAAUAUUUUAAAUUUACAAACUGGAUGGCCCAAAUGGUUUAAAAUUUACCGACAAAAUACCGAGAUUUUCCGCAUUUGGAAAUUGGUAAACCCCGACCGACAGACCUCCGAAAAGCUCGUAACGUUUAAAAAGUUUACCGAAACUAUCACCGAGUCGUUUAAAUAUAUAAAACGAAUAAUAUAUAAAAUUCAUUUUAAAAUUUGGGAUAAUAAUACCAUUUAAAAAAAACAAACCCUUCGAAAUUACGCCGCAAAGUUCCGGGAAAAUUACCACCCCGUUCCUAAAGGUAUUAAGGAACCGGUCGUACCCGGAAACCCUAUUCCCUCCGAAAUAAAAAACGCCGUGGAAAUAACGCGUGAAAAAUAAAAAAUGCUGGAUAAUUAUAUAAACGAGGAGUUUAAAAGGGUAAACUUAUUAUAUUAAUGGGUUUUUAAAAACACCGAUCCCAUUUAUUUUAACACUGUUUUAUUUACAAUAUACCGCAACGGUUGGAACACGUUCCAGGGAAUUGUUAAAACGUUUAAAAAAAAGUUUGCAUUUUUAAAAUUAUACGCCAAAAAGCAGGUUAUUAAGGAUUACCGUGCGGUAUUAAUAUUAACGCGCACCACGAAUAAUAAAACCAAUUAGUUUAAAAUUUACGAUACGGUAUACGAAAAGGGCCUUAUAUACCGGAUAAUUAAUUUCGAAAGAGAUUUAGCGAUCCGGGAUUUCGCAAAGGCGGGAGGGCGUUUCCAACCCUCCUGGACCGUAAAUGUUCGGAACAAAUUUAACAAACCGGAUUACAAGAUUACCCUGGAUUACGCGUUUACGUGGUUCAGGGGUGCGUUUAACGAUUAAAUUGUUAACCCCCUAAUCGGCGGGAGGAACAAUUUCGCUAAAUUAUAUGCGACGUUCGGCGGACUUUCGCAGGAACGCAACCGGAAUUCGACCCGUACGCAUAUAUUACGACCAGGGUUAGUACCGAUACGAUUGGGCAAAAAUAAAGGAAAUGUCGGGAACCCAAACCAGAACCACCAAGGACCACGGACCAGGAAUAGAGGAUGAAAACACGAGGUUAUAUAACGAUAAAAUAAGGAACCCUAACCCGAUUACAGGAUAAAGGUGACCGCGAUUAUUACCAAAAGAAUAAUCGGCCCAGCGGUAAUUACCCCAGGGUAAUUAUAAUUAUUUAUACAAAAAGUAAUUAUAUUUGGGAUAUAAUUUAUAUAAAACGCGCUUAUUCCCAUAUAAAUAAAUUCGAUUUUAGAAUUAUUUAGUGUAAUAUUUGGACUAUAAAAUUACCAGACCCUAACCCUGACCCCUGACCAACGACCCACCAGGGUAAUAUUUUUAUUUACGUCGCGUCAAAUUUAAAAUUUUGUUUGUUUCCUUUUUUUUGUUCAAAAUAGAAUUUUCGUCGAUAGGCGCCAAUAAAUUAAUUUCCGUAUUAUAUUUACCCUGGCCGUAAUAUAAUUUUAUUCCCAAAAAAAAUCGCUGGCCUAACGAUUAACAAAUAAAACGCAACAAAUUAUUUUUACGCCGUUGGCGAACGACGAAAAUAAAUCCGCAUUCGACAGACCAAAUCCGACCGGAGAUUAAUAAAGACGUUAAUUUUAAACCCAGACCGACCCCAACCUAUACCCAGGUUAAAGGAUUAUCCAUUUGCGAAUAGGAAAUUACAAAGAUUAAUU
rnacentral:sRNA from 1 species